AAACUUAAAGGAAUUGAGGGGCCCGCACAAGCAGCGGAGCGUGUGGUUUAAUUCGAUGCAACACGAAGAACCUUACCAGGGCUUGACAUGUUAGAAGUAGGAACCCGAAAGGGGACGACCAGUAUCCAGUCUGGAGCUAACACAGGUGCUGCAUGGCUGUCGUCAGCUCGUGCCGUGAGGUGUAUGGUUAAGUCCCACAACGAGCGCAACCCUCGUCGCUAGUUAAUUUCCCUAGCGAGACCGCCUCGCAAACGAGGAGGAAGGUGGGGAUGGCGUCAAGUCAGCAUGGCCUUUAUACCCUGGGCGACACACACGCUACAAUGGGUGGUACAGUAGGUAGCGAAGGAGCGAUCCGGAGCAAAUCUUUAAAACCAUCCUCAGUACGGAUUGCAGGCUGAAACCCGCCUGCAUGAAGCCGGAGUUGCUAGUAACCGCAUAUCAGAAUGGUGCGGUGAACUACGUUCUCGGGCCUU
rnacentral:rRNA from 1 species